ensembl:lncRNA
AUGCUGAGGCAUCAUAGAGGCCUGCAUGAGAACAAGGAGACCAACCAAGGUGGACCAAACCUUGGACGUUUGGAGAAGCUAAGAACAUAAGAAGUGUAUCCUCACUUGUAUGAACUUGCUGUGACUUUGUUCCCCAGCUUCAUCUGCUCCCUGUGAAAGUCUCUAAAGGUGAAACACUCUCAGGAAAAGAAACCGCCUGAAGCCCUGUGGACAAGUUGCUAGUUUUAAAUGGAAAUGAAUGAAAUGUUCUGCGUGUUACAUGUUGUCACUAGUAACAUAAGCACAGUCACAAACAAGUAGAUUAAGUAGAGUCACAAACCUUUAUCUUUAUCAAUAUUACAUUUCCUUUUAUCCUGUUUGAAGCUCUAAGAGAGGACGGUACGACACAGCUGGCAGAGCCAUUGCUGUAAGCUUGGUACAUGGCGCUCCGCCAACAAACCUCCUCUCACCAACAGGAUUUUCUCUUCUGGUUGAUGCUUCAGCAAAACCAGAGCUACAAGACAAAGAGUCACAAGGUUGGUGUGAAGGUGUGGACUCUGCUAUGAAUCAGGCUGAGGACCCAGAGGACGGAGUCCCUCCCUCUGAAGCCCCUCUGUGUGGGGAACAUGACAGCCAGACCAAAGCUCAGAGGUGAGAGGACCAUCUCCAACUGUCUUCCACUCGUCUCCAUGUCCCAACGUCUCUGACUCACUGACUCUGCUUCUACAUGUGUGACCAGGG